rnacentral:rRNA from 1 species
UACAGAGGGUGCAAGCGUUGUUCGGAAUUACUGGGCGUAAAGCGCGUGUAGGCGGUUUAGCAAGUCGGUCGUGAAAUCCCUUGGCUUAACCAAGGAACUGCGUUCGAAACUACUAGACUAGAGUGUCGGAGGGGAUGGCGGAAUUCCCGGUGUAGAGGUGAAAUUCGUAGAUAUCGGGAGGAACACCUGUGGCGAAGGCGGCCAUCUGGAAGACUACUGACGCUGAGACGCGAAAGCGUGGGGAGCAAACAGG